AAGGGGAAUUCCAUAAAUGUAACUAUUCCACAUGGGCCAAAACUCAACUAUAACCAAGCUCUAUGCAGAGUGCAACUAAGAGAGCUUGGAAUGUUUCACUUAGAGAAGAAAAGAAGAGACAUGCCAUAUAGUAUUUAAAUAUUUGAAAGGAUGUCAUAUUGAGGACAGAGAAAGCUUGGUUUCCUCAAAUGACUAGAAUCAGUGAUUUGCAUCACUGAACAGUGAACACCUUCUGAGGCUGACAGAAGUGCAAGGAACCAUGAAGAAGGGAGUCUGCUCAGAGGGCAUUCCUGUAAGCAUCCUUAGAACCUCAAAACACGGAGUAAACAUGUCCAAUAUUCUUUCUAACUUGGUUGGAUACAAUGAACUUUCAGUAUGAAAGCUGUCAUCUUGAAGCCACAUAUAACCAAUUGUCAGAUGUGUACAUGUGAGCCAGGAUGGGUCUAGGACUCUCAGCCAUAAGGAUUCAAUUUCAGUAUUUAAUUUUCAGUUCUCUUUGGCUAUAGAAGCCCACUCAGUACCACUGAUCAGAUGACAACACUGGCAACCCCUCUGUGAGCACAUCUUGCCAAGGAAACCACAUGAUAAGUAUUAAGUACACAUUAGGGCCGCUAUUAAUUGGAAAUGAUUUAAAGGCACACAACAGUGAAACAGGUGAGGCCAUUGUCUAAAUGGUAAGUCCAUGUACAGGACCUGGAAAGUUGAUUCUUAGCAAUAUACCCCAUCCCACAUAUUCUUGGCUGGUGGAUUCUGGGAUCUGAAGUCCACAAACAUUCCCAGGCUCUGGUUGCAGGUGACCUGGUUCUAAUUUUCUGCUGGAAAAGCAGUCAUUUCUUUGAAGAAGCUGAAAGAGGUUUGCCAUACAGCUGGUAAAAGAGUAGCUGAAAACUCCAGCAUCUUUGGGAACUGUGUUUUGUAGAACAAAGAUUUUGCCACCGGGAAAACAUCUGUUUCUCUUCAGCUACCAUUUAGACAACAGGAAAUAGUUAAUAAAGACCUUAGAGAGAACUCUAAUUGUAUUUUCCACUUUGCUGAGUGGACAGAUUUUAUACUUAUAGAGAAUAACAAAGGCGCAGUAUUCUUGUUAGAUGCAGGGUAACUCCCAUUGCUAAUCUGUCACACACAUUUGUUGAUUUCUUUUUCUAUAACUUCCAGGAAUUUCUGCAUGUUUGUUGCUGUUUCCUCACUUAGGAUUUUAAUAUAUUGGAGUUGUUUCUGCAGUGAAUGGUAAGCAACCAGGGUUCUUCAAAGAUGGAACAAGCUGUAAUAUCUAAUGAACUUUUCUAGAAGUCACAAUCUAUCUCAGAAACCAAGCUAACACCAAUUUGCAUAACUUAGGGUUCUUUCACACAGCCCUAUAUCACAGAAUAUCAAGGCAUUAAAUCCCACAAUAUCUGGCUUAUCUGAGUCCACACUGCCAUAUAUUCCAGUUCAAAGCAGAUAAUGUGGGAUUUUGUUCAGAUGUGAGGAAGGGGCCUUAGAGUCAGGCUGAAUAUUUACUCUUGAUCCUUUAUGGAAUCUAUAUUACCUGUACAAAAUAAACUCCAAACUCCAAAUCCUCAACCCAGUGAUAGGGCAUGAGGUAGGGUGCUCACCAAAAUAAGCUCAGAUGUAGUUAAUGCAAUUUUAGCCUGUCUUCCUUUUAAGGGAGACAUCUUCUUGAGGGCUUCAUUGUUAAGGUACCGGAUGUAAAAAUAAAAAAAAAAGCUACAAUGUUUUAAGUGUCAUUCAGAGUUUGCCUUACUGUCGUUAGGUGGACAAGUGUUUUGUAGUUCUCGUCUUCCAUUAUACAUUAUCAAUUAUACAUUAUCUAGCCUUUGUUGGUUUUCAUGAAAUUAAUGAGACUUUGAAAUCAAUGUUGGUGCCAUGCAAAACAGGACAUCUCUGUGAUCCACCACAGAAAUAAGGAGGCCACUCCCUUGGCUUCAUUGACAUUUACUUUUUGUCUAAGAAGGAAAUUAUUUAGAACUUUUUAAAUCAAAUUGAAUGAAAGUGGUAAACAAAAUAUGGAAAAAUAAUCCAACUUGUAAAAAAAAAAACCCAGCACAGCAUGGUACAUUUUCUGUUGUUUUAUCCUGAGGCAAUAGAUUUUCUGUUCAAUUUAGAUUUGUUGAGCUAGCUCAGGGUUUCCUUCUCAGCCACCUCUGUUUGCGAUUUGCAUGCUAAAUGAUAUAACUAUUCACAAUGACUUGGAUGCAUUUGGGUAGUAUCAUUGCAUGAAGAAAUACAAAAGUGUCUUUUGUCAAAGAACUACAGUAGAUAAGGAAGAGUCUGUUGUUUAAAUUCCUUAUAAAUACGGUGCAAGAUUGUUCCAGAUAUCAAAAACUUUGGGGAAAUCAUAUCCAUAUCUAUCUAAUUAAGAAUGUGUGUUCUUCAACCAAAGGGUCCGCGUCUCGUCAUUUUUUGGAACCUGAGGUUUGCUGUUAAUUAAGCAAGGCCAGAAGGACAGGGUUUUUAAAUAUCUAUCUCUGCUCUAACUAAUCUGGAAGUUUUGUGCUACCAUCCGUUUGCAGGGAUGCUUGGAAAACAUAGACCAUCUACUAUCAUCACUCUGGAUUUCUGGAAAGAGUCAAUCAGUGUUGCCUUCGAAAUAUCCUUAAAUCUCUUGGGAAGACAGACGGGCAAAUGUCAGUGUUCUGGAAGAAGCAAAAACCACCAGCAUGGAAGCCAUGGUCCUCAGCCAUCAACUUCGCUGGACUGGCCAUGUUGUCCAAAUGCCCGAUCACCAUCUCCCAAAGCAGUUACUUUACUAUCAGCUCAAGAAUGGAAAACAGAAUGUCAGUGGACAAAAAAAGGAGAUUUUAAAGUGGGCUUAAAGCUAACCUUAAAAGUGUGGCAUAAACAUCAAUAACUGGAAAUCCUUGGCACUAGAGCGCUUUAACUGAACUCAGCUGUUACCAACAGUGCUGUGGAUUUUGAAGAGGCACUAAUAGAGAAUAAAAGGAAGAAACAUGCCAAGAGGAAGGUGCAUCAAGCAAAUCCUUGUUGUGAACACCUUCCAUCUGGAAACCUAUGUCCUCAUUGAGAAAAAGAUUAUGUGAAUCCUGAAUAGGUCUCUACAGUCACUUAUGGACCCUCCACCAAAACUUUACCCUUAGAAGACAAUCAUACUCAGCCACAAGUGUUUGCCCAUAGAGUAGGGACUCCAUUCAUUCAAGUGCCUGAAUUCUGUGUUUCUUUGCUGUCUUUGGAAGACGAGAACAACCCCAGGUCAUGCUUUGUUAGGGUCUGCUAUUCAUGAACAUGCAAACAUAUACUAGUUCCCAAAGCUUAGAAAAGUUCCUUUCACUAAUUUUAGAAUUCCUCAGACAGCUGGUGGAUGUGAGACAGUAGGAGUCCUAAAAUAUUCAUACUACAUUCUCAGGUAUUAUCUAGUUGUGUGAAUAGAAAGCUACAGCCAUACUAAUUUUCCCCCUCUGUGAUGAAAUGUCUGUCAAAUAUUGCUUUGACAGAGACAUUCUGCCUCUGUUAUCACCUCUCUGCCAAAGCAGCAAACAAUAUGUAAAAUGGCUGUUGAAAUUCACCCUGGAACUCUGUUACUCAUUUGAUCUCUCUUUUCUUGAUCCAGGUCCAGGACAAAAUGUCCUAAGAACUGAAUAUAAAAAAAGGGGUAGAAGACAUCACUUGCCAGUAGUUACAACAUCCAGGGUGUGACCUGAGCCACUGUACUGUGAAUCUUCAUGCUUGGAAACAACACAGACUCAUAUUGUCAGUGUUAGAUCACACUGUUGGCAUGCUUUCUAACAUACAUUUUAUUGAUGAGACAGCAUAGUGUUUCUGUAUUCAACCUCCCCGAAUCCUCCUCACCGUUAUAUGGUGCAAAUUCAGUGUACUGAAUUAAACCUGAAGUAGACCUCCUGGACUGUUUCUUUUUCCUUAAAAUGUGCAUAGGGAUGUUCAUUAAUUUUCUUCUUGGAGGAAGCAACAAGUAAUUUCAGCAAUUUUCUUCUCACUAUACACAGUUUGGUGUUUAUUCUGUGCAAAAUUUUCACAUGGAAUUUUCUGUCCAGAAAACCAGUUUCUGUACAGGAAAAACACAGAGAAUAGAUUCUCAUCAGUGCAGUGGUGGAACCUGAAGACAAAUGUACUCUCCCUCUUUGAAAUACUCAGCCUUCGCAAAAACCAUACCAAUGAGAAUAGAUAUUAUCAAGAAUUUGAAAACAAUGAAUACAGUUUAUCUUCCACAUUCAUGGGUUUUCCUCUUGCAUAUUUGGUUAUUUGUGGAUUUGAUUAAUAUGUUCUCUAGGUCUUCAAGAACAAUUCUUUGGUCAUCCUCUAGUGAACCAUGGCAUCAUCCUGGAAGAUCUAAAAAGGUGUUCUUUCAGAUUAAAACAUGUUCUUAUUCAAAGUUUCCUCACUUUUGCAGGGGUCCUAUCAUAUUGAGAGGCCUACAAUAUUGUUCAUGAUAACUGCUAGAAUCCCCCACCCAGUAUAGUUGUGGUGACUAUACCUGAUUUGGAAUCCCAAUAUCAUCUGAAACCCAUGAUUAGGAGAUAUUUCAUGAAAGUGUAACUAAAAUCAAUUUCCUGUCCAACUUACAAACCAUCUUUUCUCUACCGAAGGCUCCCUUUCCCAUAAAAAUUGCCAUUUUCUGUUGGAAAGUGGUGUGAGCAACAGAAGAGCAUCUGCCCAUUUUCCUAUUGCUGGAACUGCAGCAAUGACAUCAACCUCAGGGACCUCCUGAAGACCACUGUAAGACCUAAAGGAUACCUGACACUGUCCGUAGAGUAUAUUUUAUCCAUUGCUCAGUUGGCAUAGAAUUCUGAGAUAAUGAUGUAUGUUGGAAUUACCCCUUCAUGAUUCUGUAACAAGUGUCAAACAUCUUCUCUGAACUAUGUUUGCUUCAUUGGGUCCAAGAAGAUGGAAUAAGGGCAUUCACUGCUUUGCACAUGGACAGAGUGAUGUGGCCAUCACUGGCAACAGAUUUUUAGUGUCACAAAAGAUCAGCAAAUGAUGAGCUGAUAACCUUGUGAUUUUGUAUGAUUUUUAUUCAUUUUAAUGCCAUGACCAAUCUUGCUAAGUUUCCACUAGAUAUCAUUGCAUGAGAUUUCUGUUCCUCUCUAUAACUUCCUUUUUGUAAAUGUCACCUGGUAAAUGGAUCAAGUAAAUAAACUUACUCCUACUUCUACUA